UUAAUAAGCGGAGGAAAAGAAACUAACUAGGAUUGGUCCAGUAACGGCGAGUGAAGCGCCAAUAGCCCCUCAUGUGAAUCGGCGUUUGUCGAAUUGUGGUUGCCAUAUCAUUCAGCUGGUGGACCAAGUCUCCUGGAAUGGAGCAGCAGAGAGGGUGAGACUCCCGUACGUCCACAUGCGUGAGAAUUGGCUAGAGAGUCGAGUUGUUUGGGAUUGCAGCUCUAAUUUGGUGGUAAAUUCCAUCCAAGGCUAAAUACUGGUGAGAGACCGAUAGCGUACAAGUACCGUGAGGGAAAGAUGCAAAGCCGCGCGAAAGCGCUGUCAAAGAGUACCUGAACUUGCUGAAAUGGAAGCGAAGGAAACCAGUGCUAGCCAAACUGCACUUCCCCUGAUGCUUGCAUCAGGGGCGCUGCUGCUGGUGUUGUUCCUGUUGGUGAUGAGUAGCGGAUGAUUUUGGCGCUGUCUGUUGCCGAUGGGGACUAAAUGGUUUUCUUUUUCCCG
rnacentral:rRNA from 1 species